rnacentral:rRNA from 1 species
UACGUAGGGGGCAAGCGUUGUCCGGAAUCAUUGGGCGUAAAGCGCGUGUAGGCGGCAACGCAAGUCGGGCGUGAAAUCCCACGGCUCAACCGUGGAAGUGCACUCGAAACUGCGUAGCUAGAGUCCUGGAGAGGAAGGUGGAAUGCUUGGUGUAGAGGUGAAAUUCGUAGAUAUCAAGCGGAACACCGGUGGCGAAGGCGGCCUUCUGGACAGUGACUGACGCUGAGACGCGAAAGCGUGGGGAGCAAACAGGG